rnacentral:misc_RNA from 1 species
AGUCCAGCCAGAACCGCGCGGCGCUGGAGCGUCCUGACGCCUUGAACGUGGCGGUCGAGGGGGAGCGGGAUCUCGGCGCCUACUUGAUGUGGAACUCGGCGGCCACCAAGCAGCGGUUUAGAGAUCUGGUCGGCUUGGGGUUGAAGGGGAGCGGCGACUACGGAGCCGUGGCCGGCGGUCUUUAUUCGGGGCAGGGGUUGAACCGAUCGGAUCAGAAUGGCGACGUCCACGUGGUGGGUCGCGUGUCGUACCCGUUCAAGCUGGCCAGCGGCCAGUAUGCGGAGUUCGGGGUGCAGGGGUACCGCGGGCGAUUCGUCAGUCCCGUGCAGGCGAUCACCAUCGGCGGCACCACCGUGACGCCGACGCAGGAAGCGAACGGCGCGAUCGAUCAGCGCGUCGCGCUGACCGCCGUGUGGUACCCGCAACCCCUGGGCGUCGAGGCCGAGUGGACGUUCGGUCGCGGGCCCACGUUGAGCGACGACUUCCGGCGCAUCGACGCCGAUUCGCUGCACGGCGGCUACGUGCAGGUCAACUACCGGACCGUCGGGAAGAAGGGGGUCUUCGUGCCGUUCACCCGCUGGAACUAUUACGACGGGUCGCGGAAGUUCGCGCGCAACGCGCCCCGCAUGCGCGUGAACGACGUGGACGUGGGCCUCGAGUUCGCGCGCUGGUCGGAGGUGGAGCUGACGGCGAUGGUCAGCCGCACGUUCUCGCGCACCCGAACGGGUCUGUUCCCCUACACGGUGACCCGCGGCGCGACGCGCUUGGGGCUGCAGGCGCAGAUAAACUACUGAAACGUUCGCAAGAAAACGCCAUCUGACAAUUACGUCGAGAUCGUCGCCUUGGGUCCGCGGAUGGGCGCCGCUGGCCCGCGCGCGACGCCGUGCACAACGGUUCAGUCAUACUGCGAUCCGUACAUUACUGUAUCAACUAUCAACUACUGCUACGCGUCUGUCCGCUAGAGCGGAGCCCGAUCCCGUCGCGAAUUCAGCGGAUAUCUGUCUUUGAAUCAUGGAGUUAAGUGUCCUUGCAGGGCCUGGCACUGCGCGGCGUGUCGCUUGCACUUGUAACAGGCAGCUUGCGGCCGACGUGUGGUGCCACCGUGUCGUGUAGGCACUGCACCCGGCCACAUCGAGGAGGACACACUUCAUGGGGAGUUCGAGCGUGCCGUUCAUUUCGUUGUUGUCGCACCCGGUCGUGCGGGCCUUUGGGGGCGUGUGCGUGGGUGCCAUGCUCUUGCAGGCAGUGCCGGCGUUCGCUGGACCUGAGGACCCCAACGCCAAGCCGGCGUCAGAAGCAGCCAAGCCCGCGGCGGAACCGCAGGCUCCCGCAGCGGCAGCCGACGAUCCUGUGAUCGCCUUCUUCAAGAAGGUCGAGCUGUCGGGGAUCAUCGACACGUACUUCACGUACAACUUCAACGAGCCCCCGACUGGCACCUUCACGCCUUACCGGAGCUUCGACGUGAAGCACAACCAGUUCAGCGUGUCCUUGGUGGAAUUUGCCAUGGCCAAGCCCGCGACCGAGGACGACCGGAUCGGCUUCCGGUUCGACCUGCAGUACGGGCAGACCGCGCAGGUCUUCAACACCGACCCGCUGGACAACAACAACCUGCUCAACGUCCAGCAGGGCUACAUCAGCUACCUGGCGCCCGCCGGCAGGGGGCUGACGUUUGAAGUGGGCAAGUUCACGACGCCGAUUGGCACCGAGCCCACCGAGGCGCACCUGAACAACAACUACUCGCGCGCAUUCCUCUAUCAGUUCGGGCCCUUCUACCACGUGGGCGCGCGCAUCUCGUAUCCCGUGCACC